ACCCUUUUAUCUAAGUUGGCAGAGCAUCGUAUUCCAGAUCCGAAGGUCAUCGGUUCAAGUCCGGUAUUGGUCA